rnacentral:rRNA from 1 species
UACGUAGGGUGCGAGCGUUGUCCGGAAUUAUUGGGCGUAAAGAGCUCGUAGGCGGUGUGUCGCGUCGGCCGUGAAAGCCCGGGGCUUAACUCCGGGUCUGCAUUCGAUACGGGCAGGCUAGAGUUCGGUAGGGGAGAUCGGAAUUCCUGGUGUAGCGGUGAAAUGCGCAGAUAUCAGGAGGAACACCGGUGGCGAAGGCGGAUCUCUGGGCCGAUACUGACGCUGAGGAGCGAAAGCAUGGGGAGCGAACAGG